GACGAACGCUGGCGGCGCGCUUAACACAUGCAAGUCGAACGGAAAGGCCUGCCUUCCCUUGUGGAUUGCGGGUACUCGAGUGGCGAACGGGUGAGUAACACGUGAGUGAUCUGCCCCCAACUUGGGUAUAAGCCUGGGAAACUGGGUCUAAUUCCCGAUAGGACUGCAGGGUGGUGCCUGUGGUGGAAAACGAUUUUCUAGUGGUUGGGGAUGAGCUCGCGGCCUAUCAGCUUGUUGGUGGGGUAAUGGCCUACCAAGGCGGCGACGGGUAGCCGGCCUGAGAGGGUGGACGGACACAUUGGGACUGAGAUACGGCCCAGACUCCUACGGGAGGCAGCAGUGGGGAAUAUUGCACAAUGGGCGGAAGCCUGAUGCAGCGACGCCGCGUGGGGGAUGACGGCCUUCGGGUUGUAAACUCCUUUCGACCGCGAGGAAGCCACCUGGUUGGAAGGGUGGUGACGGUAGUGGUAGAAGAAGCACCGGCUAACUACGU
rnacentral:rRNA from 1 species